UACGUAGGGUGCAAGCGUUAAUCGGAAUUACUGGGCGUAAAGCGUGCGCAGGCGGUUAUGUAAGACAGAUGUGAAAUGCCCGGGCUUAACCUGGGAACUGCAUUUGUGACUGCAUGGCUAGAGUUUGGCAGAGGGGGGUAGAAUUCCACGUGUAGCAGUGAAAUGCGUAGAUAUGUGGAGGAACACCGGAUGCGAAGGCAGCCCCCUGGGUCAAGACUGACGCUCAUGCACGAA
rnacentral:rRNA from 1 species